rnacentral:rRNA from 1 species
UACGUAGGUGACAAGCGUUGUCCGGAUUUACUGGGCGUAAAGGGCGCGCAGGUGGCGGUGUUGGCCCGGCGUGAAAGCCCCCGGCUCAACCGGGGAGGGUCGUCGGGGACCGCACCGCUUGAGGGCGGUAGGGGCUGGUGGAAUGCCUGGUGUAGUGGUGAAAUGCGUAGAGAUCAGGCGGAACACCCGUAGCGAAGGCGGCCAGCUGGGCCGUCCCUGACACUGAGGCGCGAAGGCGUGGGGAGCGAACGGG